rnacentral:rRNA from 1 species
GACGAACGCUGGCGGCGUGCUUAACACAUGCAAGUCGAACGGGCCCGCUCUCUUUUUUGGGGGUGGGUUGAGUGGCGACCGGGUGAGUAUCACGUGAGUAACCUGCCCCCUGCUCCUGGAUAACUGCUUGAAAGGGCGGCUAAUACGGGGUGUGCCGGCUGGUCCGCAUGGGCCUGGUCGGGAUAGUUUCAUCUUCGGGUGUUUCGGUGGGGGAUGGGCUCGCGGCCUAUCAGCUUGUUGGUGGGGUGAUGGCCCACCAAGGCGGUGACGGGUAGCCGGCCUGAGAGGGUGGGCGGACACACUGGGACUGAGACACGGCCCAGACUCCGGCGGGAGGCAGCAGUGGGGGGUAUUGCACAAUGGGCGGAAGCCUGAGGCAGCGACGUCGCGUGAGGGAUGGAGGCCUUCGGGUUGGGAACCUCUUUCUCCGGUGGUGAAGGCCCUGUCCGUUGCGGCGGGGUUGACGGUAGCCGGGUAUGAAGCGCCGGCUAACUACGUG